GACGGAGGAUGCAAGCGUUAUCCGGAAUGAUUGGGCGUAAAGCGUCCGCAGGUGGCAGUUCAAGUCUGCUGUCAAAGACCGGGGCUUAACUUCGGAAAGGCAGUGGAAACUGAACAGCUAGAGUAUGGUAGGGGCAGAGGGAAUUCCUGGUGUAGCGGUGAAAUGCGUAGAGAUCAGGAAGAACAUCGGUGGCGAAAGCGCUCUGCUGGACUGCAACUGACACUCAGGGACGAAAGCUAGGGGAGCGAAUGGG
rnacentral:rRNA from 1 species